rnacentral:rRNA from 1 species
CCAGACUCCUACGGGAGGCAGCAGUGGGGAAUAUUGCACAAUGGGGGAAACCCUGAUGCAGCAACGCCGCGUGAGUGAAGAAGUAUUUCGAUAUGUAAAGCUCUAUCAGCAGGGAAGAAGAUGACGGUACCUGAGUAAGAAGCCCCGGCUAACUACGUGCCAGCAGCCGCGGUAAUACGGAGGAUGCGAGCGUUAUCCGGAUUUAUUGGGUUUAAAGGGUGCGCAGGCGGUCUGUUAAGUCAGCGGUCAAAGGCCGGGGCCCCCCCCCCGGCCCGCCGUUGAAACUGGCAGUCUCGAGUUGGAGAGAAGUAUGCGGAAUGCGCGGUGUAGCGGUGAAAUGCAUAGAUAUCGCGCAGAACUCCGAUUGCGAAGGCAGCAUGCCGGCUCCGCACUGACGCUGAGGCACGAAAGCGUGGGUAUCGAACAGGAUUAGAUACCCUAGUAAGG